CGCAAAACAACGCAAUUAUUUUUAACGAGCGGCAGUUUUUUAAAGGAUUAACGUGCCUAAUGACAUGUCGUAAAACGGUAGAUUGCUUUUCGAAAAUUUUACCUGUUGAAUUAAUUGAAAUAUGGGGAUCGUUCAAUAUCAAAGCCCUCACUCAAGCAUCACAAAUGAAGCAAACUUUAAUCUUUAAACUGCAUGAAAAUUGAAAAGCGUACAAUAUCGUGAAUCAUGGUCAUUUAAGUUUAGUUUACGGUGGCGUAAUCGUUUAUAACUAGGUUAUAAUGCCUUUCACCUCCGAUUCUCGCUACGGACCCAUGGGCCAUGUGAAGAGUCAGUCAACGCUCUGCCGAAAAGUCGUGGGUUCUCUCCGGUUUCUUUCCACGUGUGGGUUUGAAUAAACAUGCACAAUUAAGAAAGUACUAUCACAAUCGUUAUAAGAGAAAAAAAUAGUCUAGACUAAGUACUGUACGUAAUUAGGUAACCGUAAUACUUGUUGUAAAGCCAUAUACAGCUAUUUCAAAAUCAUUGUAAGCUUGUUUAUAUAGAGCAUAUAAAGCAU
rnacentral:lncRNA from 1 species